AGUGAACGCUGGCGGUAGGCCUAACACAUGCAAGUCGAACGGCAGCACAGUAAGAGCUUGCUCUUACGGGUGGCGAGUGGCGGACGGGUGAGGAAUACAUCGGAAUCUACUUUUUCGUGGGGGACAACGUAGGGAAACUUACGCUAAUACCGCAUACGACCUACGGGUGAAAGCAGGGGAUCUUCGGACCUUGCGCGAUUGAAUGAGCCGAUGUCGGAUUAGCUAGUUGGCGGGGUAAAGGCCCACCAAGGCGACGAUCCGUAGCUGGUCUGAGAGGAUGAUCGGCGACACUGGAGCUGAGCCACGGUCCAGACUACUACGAGAGGCAGCAGAGGGGAAUAUUAGGCAAUGGGCGGGAGCCUGAUCCAGCCAUAGCGCGUGGGUGAAGAAGGCCUUCGGGUUGUAAAGACCUUUUGUUGGGAAAGAAAAGCAGCAGGUUAAUACCCCGCUGUUCUGACGGUACCCAAAGAAUAAGCACCGGCUAACUUCGUG
rnacentral:rRNA from 1 species